AGGGACCUACGGGACGCAGCAGUGGGGAAUAUUGCACAAUGGGGGGAACCCUGAUGCAGCGACGUCGCGCGGGUGAAGAAGUCAUUCGUGACGUAAAGCCCCAUCAGCAGGGAAGAAAAUGACGGUACCUGACUAAGAAGCCCCGGCUAACUACGUGCCAGCAGCCGCGGUAAUACGUAGGGGGCAAGCGUUAUCGGGAUUUACUGGGUGUAAAGGGAGCGUAGACGGCGGCGCAAGUCCGGAGUGAAAGCCCACGGCCCAACCGCG
rnacentral:rRNA from 1 species